rnacentral:lncRNA from 1 species
UCCCCUUUUCCCGGUGCCUCCGUCUGCCUGGCGGAACUGGACUUUCAGGUCUGUGCAGGUGAAGGUGUGCGUGUGAACGCCCGGGACGGCAGAACCAGAGCUACUGGUAAUUCUGCUUUCCUUCCCCCGCUCUCCCGGCUCCACAGCCAGCCGCCGAGGCAGGACAGGUAGAGCCCCCUCCCCCUGGCAUGUGGGGAGCGGCGGGGCUGGGGCGCCGGCGGGGCUCGGCACGGGAGAGCGGCCGGGCCGGGCGCGCACAGGUAACUUUCCCGAGCAGCGCUGGAUUCUUUCACUAAAGGAGCGGGGAGAGGGACGAGCCGCGCGCUGAUUGGGCGGCGCGGCCGCCAGGUGCGCUGCCAUUGGCAGAGGCGCGCACAGGUGAGGAAGGAGCCGCCGCCGAGCGCCAGGAGCAUAGCCAGCACUCUGAGAUAUCCUGGAAGAAAGGACUGCUCUGCAGAAGCUCACUGAAAGACUUCCUGAUAGGAAAAAAUCACUGCUGGAGAGAUGGAAAGGAGCCCACACAGUGGAAGGUAUGCACAACUCUUCCUUCUACAAUUUCUCUAUU